rnacentral:rRNA from 1 species
UACGUAGGGUGCAAGCGUUGUCCGGAAUUAUUGGGCGUAAAGAGCUCGUAGGCGGUUUGUCGCGUCUGCUGUGAAAACCCGAGGCUCAACCUCGGGCCUGCAGUGGGUACGGGCAGACUAGAGUGCGGUAGGGGAGAUUGGAAUUCCUGGUGUAGCGGUGGAAUGCGUAGAGAUCGGGAGGAACACCAGAGGCGAAGGCGGCAAGCUGGAUGGGCACUGAUACUCAACUCCGAAAGCGUGGGGAGCAAACAGG